rnacentral:rRNA from 1 species
UUUAGCCAUGCUAGUUGCACGAGUUCAUACUCGUGGCGAAAAGCUCAGUAACACGUGGCCAAACUACCCUACAGAGAACGAUAACCUCGGGAAACUGAGGCUAAUAGUUCAUACGGGAGUCAUGCUGGAAUGCCGACUCCCCGAAACGCUCAGGCGCUGUAGGAUGUGGCUGCGGCCGAUUAGGUAGACGGUGGGGUAACGGCCCACCGUGCCGAUAAUCGGUACGGGUUGUGAGAGCAAGAGCCCGGAGACGGAAUCUGAGACAAGAUUCCGGGCCCUACGGGGCGCAGCAGGCGCGAAACCUUUACACUGCACGCAAGUGCGAUAAGGGGACCCCAAGUGCGAGGGCAUAUAGUCCUCGCUUUUCACGACUGUAAGGCGGUCGUGGAAUAAGAGCUGGGCAAGACCGGUGCCAGCCGCCGCGGUAAUACCGGCAGCUCAAGUGAUGACCGAUAUUAUUGGGCCUAAAGCGUCCGUAGCCGGCCACGAAGGUUCAUCGGG